AACGAACGCUGGCGGCAGGCCUAACACAUGCAAGUCGAGCGAGGACUUCGGUCCUAGCGGCGGACGGGUGAGUAACGCGUGGGAACGUGCCCUUUGCCUCGGAAUAGCCCUGGGAAACUGGGAGUAAUACCGGAUGAGUCCUUUGGGGGAAAGAUUUAUCGGCGAAGGAUCGGCCCGCGUUGGAUUAGGUAGUUGGUGGGGUAAUGGCCUACCAAGCCGACGAUCCAUAGCUGGUUUGAGAGGAUGAUCAGCCACACUGGGACUGAGACACGGCCCAGACUCCUACGGGAGGGAGCAGUGGGGAAUCUUAGACAAUGGGGGAAACCCUGAUCUAGCCAUGCCGCGUGAGCGAUGAAGGCCUUAGGGUUGUAAAGCUCUUUCAGCUGGGAAGAUAAUGACGGUACCAGCAGAAGAAGCCCCGGCUAACUCCGUG
rnacentral:rRNA from 1 species